rnacentral:rRNA from 1 species
CGGGACGGGUGAGUAAUGUCUGGGAAAUUGCCCGAUGGAGGGGGAUAACUACUGGAAACGGUAGCUAAUACCGCAUAACGUCGCAAGACCAAAGAGGGGGACCUUAGGGCCUCUUGCCAUCGGAUGUGCCCAGAUGGGAUUAGCUAGUAGGUGGGGUAAUGGCUCACCUAGGCGACGAUCCCUAGCUGGUCUGAGAGGAUGACCAGCCACACUGGAACUGAGACACGGUCCAG